CAUAAACCUAGAGCUCUCGGGGUUGGUAUUCCCAUUGCAACAUUUGUCGCGCAUGGAAAUGGUGAGAUGCAAAGCCUGCUUCAGUAUCAAGCCACGACCUAAAAAUUAUUUUAUGCAACUCAACUAAAUCAUCAGGGAGCAGCGGAAAUGUUAUUUCACAUGCUCUUAAGUGGAAAGGGCCUUUAAGUAGGAUAGCAAGUUGGAACACAGCUGCCCGUUGAAGAUUUGCAAAGGCAAAAACUGAGCAAAGGAAUGGAAAUGCUUAAUGCUAAGGAGAACGCCAUCCUGCCAUCUCUCUAAAGUCAACACCACAUAGGCACUGGUCAAAUACAAGCUCCUGGAGUCAGCACAGGAACUACUGUGAGAAAUGCAAAAGUCUGAAACCUCUAGAUUCGCCAGAUGAUCUAAUUGCUGCGAGAAGGAGCAGUAUCGGAACAAUAUAGAAUAAUACUAAUGUAUACGGGAAGGAGGCACAUGACAUUCUGAAGUUAUUCCCUGGGAACCUCUAAGACAGCCUGAGGCCAGGCAGCCUUCAGAAGAACUCGCAACCAUUGAUGCUCAUGCUACUGAAGAAUUCUUUAUUGUAUGAGGCCAAAUUAAAUACUUUAUCUCAGGCCUGAAAGAGCUUGGGAGACUUCAGAUAUAUCUUUAGAAAACUCCAGAGAUCCUCUGAAGCUGUGAGACUUAAGACUUCUGUGAUUCAGUUGUACUCAAACUGUGUAUCAACAUCCAAUGAAUUUUUGGUCAAGUAUGUACAUGAAAACAAACAAACAUUGAAGGAGCGUUUACUUUAGCAGUGUGGUUAUGAUUCUCUAUUUACACUGCACCGUUUUCAGAAAUCAAAUAUAGAAUUUGCUUUUCAGUUCACAGAUUUUGUGAAUCAAUUUUCUGUUGAUCCUUGUUUUUAUAUUUCAAUGAACCUUUCAGUCCAGGUUUAAAAGCAAAACUCUGUCCAACCUAUUGUUUGUGUCAAAAGCUUGAUUGUCUCAUGUGCAGACUGCCAUGGGGGAAAAAAAAAGAGAGAAAACAGAAUCAGGGCAGAGAAUGGGUAACAGUGAUUCUUCUAACAAGCAUUGGUUACUAUUAGUUCUUGUUAGUCAUUGUUGCAGUAGGAAGGUCUUGUAGAGCAUUGCUACUCAUCUUGAGAAAUCUCAUGAACUCACUGGGCAGAGGAGUUGUAACAUUUACAGGGUGUACAGCACUGACCAGUGAUAGAUGGUCAGACAAGGCUUUGCUAAGUCAGUCAUCUCCUGCUUUCAAUAUCAUUUCCAUCAGCAAUUUGAAAUAUAAGCUAUGUUCUAACUAGUUAUCAGCAUUGUGUUUGGGUUUGUUUGUUUGUUUUGUUUCGAGUUCAAUCAUGAACCACCUCUUUUCUUGUGCUGCUAAGUCAAGAAAAGCUUGGACUGAGUAAGAACAGAAGCAGCAUUCAACACACACUGCAUUACUGAAAGAGACAUAAUAAUAAAAAUGUUUUAUCAAUAGAUAACUACACUAAAUAGCACAAGACAUAGAACUCACAUCCUGAGACCACAAUUACACAAAUACUGGCACAUUCAAAUUGCAUAAGCUGCCAGAAAACGUCCUAAGGAGAGGUUCAACACCUAGAAGAAAAUCCAUUCCUAAAAACUGUAUCCAUCUCCUAUCAUAUUACUGUAUCUAAUCUGGGAUUCUAGGGGAGAUGAGAGUUUUCAUAGCUGUCUUCUAGGAUGACUAAAUGCAAUAAAUAUCUUUCAGAGUACAACUUGGUAUUUCAGUCACAGGAUUUACUGUAGUUGGUUUUACUGUCAAGGUAUAUUUGUCAGGCAUUUAUUCUUCCUCUGCCCAUCACUGUUAAAAAGAUUGUGAGUAGUUAAAAAGAACAAUGGAAAAACAGCCAGAAAAUUUGUAUGACUUAAUUAAAGGAAGAAAUCAAAGGGAUUAUAGCCAACAAAGGAAGUUUAAACAAAAAAAUUUACUACCUCUGCAAGUAAGUCUCUGUGUAAGGUAAUAAAACACCUCGCACUUGGGGUUUGUUGCGAGAUGGAUCAUAUAUCUUCUGCUGUGUGCUGUUUGCUGCACGACUCUUCCACACAAGUCCCUGAAUAAAAUCACCACCUUCAGCAGCUGUAGCUGGAUCUUGUUUUAGGUUGAAUAAUAUUUCCUUAAUAUUUCUCUUUCUGUUGAUACAUGAGACCUGUCUAAACUGUCCUCCAGACCAAAAUUCUGGAUUCAAUUUCCUCUUGUUUUUCUAAGUCACUGAUGGCAGAAGAAAAAAGAAAAGAAAAAGUAGAUUUCCAUGCCUUCUGAGAUGGAGAUGGGUUUGUCUACUCAUCCUCACACAGGAAACAUAUACCAUUUCACGAUACUCAGUCAGUUCUUAAUUGGCUCUGACACGUGAAAAAAUAAACAUGGAAGUCUUUUUACCCAAAUUAGGCUGAGAAUGCAGAAUUAAACAUUUUUAAUAGAAUUUAGAGAUUGUAUUUUGUUGUGUUUAGUUUUGCUGAGAUGAUGCUGAAGGUUUGAGAGAGACACUGAAGGCUUUGUUACAACUGACAUUGUGCUAUCAGAGGAAAAGGUGGUCCUCAUUCAACACUCUUAAUUCAGACUUCAAAUAACUCAACACAAAUCUGGUAACAGACUGCUAGAAUUCUCACACUGAUUUAUAUAAGAGGCAGAACAGAACCCAGGGAAGAAAGAAGGUGGUCUAGAAGCUCAUGUGCCAGUCUGGGAUGUACAUGCACCUGAUUCAUCUCCUACAGGUUUAAGCAAAUGUAGACCAGUCUUCCAGGCUUUGUGCUCUCUCUCAAGUGGAUCACAGUCCAUUUUUCAGAGAUUUCAUGAGGAAAGAUAUUAGGAAGAUUGUGGGCUUCUCACACUUUCUUAUGGGAAUCUCUGUAGAUAGGAAAAUAUGUUCACAGUCAUACUUGAAUGCCUUAGAUGUAUAGUUUGGUUAUUAGCUCACCAUAAAGCUUCGAUCAACUAACUUAGCUUACGAAGGCCCAAAUUUAUUCGUAUGCAAAAUAAAGUCGUUUGUCUUCUCAAAUUUCAGCCAAUCAUAAAGAAAAAAAGUCUGAAGCAUUCUACUACCAUUCUACUACUGUUUUGGAUCAUGCAUUUUGUGAUCCACACGGUAUGUCAGCUAUGGUGUACCUUAAUUUCAUUGUCUGUGCCUACACUGUGUGUUUAAGGACUCAUCUUUCUAAAACAGCUAGAGCAGGGGGCAGGGAAAAAAGAAAACAAAACAUCUGCUUUUCUGUCUUUUGUCUAUGUAUUUAUAACGGAGGUAAUUUGGGUGAUUUUAACCAAUCUAGGAAACAUGAAACACUGGGCUAAUUAACAGCAAGAGCUUAAAUGUGUUUAAGUCGUACUGUGAUUUCAACUGCCAUGCUUUUGGCUAUUCUGUACUGUGGUGUGAACUUGGCAAGAGUCUAGGAGGAUUUCAGCUUUUCCUUACGGCUCCCACUUCCGAAGUACUGUUCUGCAGCACUCUUCUCUGUGUGUAAAUCACAUCAGUUUACAUAAUGUUUGCAUUGCAUAUUAUCUUAGACAUCAUUCCUGGAAAAAAGCAAAGCAUCACUUGAUGCCUAUGGAAUUGCUUGGUGUCGGCUUCCCACAGAUCAGCUGUAUGAGGAAACAAUCAAGAGGGAAUCUGAUCAACACGUUUAUUAUUCUUAAAAGUUUCCUGUUUUAUUAAUAAACCUGUCUGACAUGAUAUCUAUUCCUGCAAGUCAGAAAAAUAAGAAACAGCAAUUGCAUACAACUGCAGAGCUAAUUUCUCUGAGUAAGUUUGCAAGAAAAGCUAGAGAGAGUUCCAAAAGCCGGGAGACAGACAAGGAAAAUUAGAAAUAUCUGAGGAAGUCAUUUUGCAGUUCAAUUACUGCUGCCAAUUGUCAUUUACACUUAGAAUUGAAACAGAAUGCUUAUAAAAAAAAUCCAUAUUUGCUUGCCAAGUACUUAAGAGAACUUCCGUUAAAAUUAAGGUUAGAUUACAUUUCUUACAUUAGAGAAAUUGAUUUCUAACCUAGUUAACCUUGUUUCUUCUGAGUUUUCUCUACAUCAUGAGAGGAGUCUUGUAUAUCCUUGUUUCCCACCAAGUUCUAUUCCUUUUUUUUUCCCUUAAUUCUUGUAUUCCAUUGUUAUGUCAUUGCUGGAGAACACAAUGGGCACUUCACGUCCUCUUUAGGCGAGCAAAGCUUCCAGUCAAUGUUAAUGAGAAAAACAGUAGGAGCACUUGAGUAAGUGCACGGCACAGAAGGCCCCCAGAAAUCAGCAGAACAGAACUUUCUCUAUUAAUUAAAAGUUCUUUUAGAGAUGGGAAAGCUAUCCAUGUGGUAUUGGUUCACUCGCUUUCAAAAGAUACCACGCUCCCACACUAAGCUUUAAAAAAAAUGAGUCUUUACGUGAGCAUAAUAUUUAAUAGCACUCUCUUUAGGCGAGGACAGAACUGAGCAGGGUGAAAAGUGCUUUCUUUUUUUCCAAGAUGCUGUAUUUCAAAUAAAAUCAAGGAGAGAAGUCCAUAUUUACCCUGGUGAAAACCAGGUUAGUACAGUAAUGAACAUCAGAAAAUCUUCAAUUCCACUCAGUAGAUAAGUUAUCCUUAUAUCCUCCUUGUGCCUAAGCUUUGUUUAAGGUUCACAAAUUGGCUUGGCUUCCAAAGUGUAUACAAAUCAAUUACACACAUGCCCGGUGGAUUAAGUUUCUAUGACUCUCACAGGCUGGAGUUCAAGGCUCAGAAUAAAGAGAUCGGGGUGCUCCUUCCUUG
rnacentral:lncRNA from 1 species